rnacentral:lncRNA from 1 species
CCUGUUAUGAUUCCAUUUUCCGUGUUUCAUGUUUUAUUACGAAUCUGUGUGCUUUCCUCUGCUUUCCUCUGUUUUAUAUUACUUAUGGGUGCCGUAUUUAUGUUAUGUAAUCUGCUUCUGUGCUUUACUAUGUGUUUGUGUGGUAUCUCGUGCCUUGAGCCGGGGGUCUUUCGGAAACAGCCUUUCUACUUCAUCAGAGGUAGAGGUAUGGACUGCGUACAUCUUACCCCCCCAGACCCCACUAGGUGGGAAUACACUGGGU